rnacentral:rRNA from 1 species
ACCGCAUAACGUCGCAAGACCAAAGAGGGGGACCUUCGGGCCUCUUGCCAUCGGAUGUGCCCAGAUGGGAUUAGCUAGUAGGUGGGGUAACGGCUCACCAAGGCGACGAUCCCUAGCUGGUCUGAGAGGAUGACCAGCCACACUGGAACUGAGACACGGUCCAGACUCCUACGGGAGGCAGCAGUGGGGAAUAUUGCACAAUGGGCGCAAGCCUGAUGCAGCCAUGCCGCGUGUAUGAAGAAGGCCUUCGGGUUGUAAAGUACUUUCAGCGGGGAGGAAGGGAGUAAAGUUAAUACCUUUGCUCAUUGACGUUACCCGCAGAAGAAGCACCGGCUAACUCCGUGCCAGCAGCCGCGGUAAUACGGAGGGUGCAAGCGUUAAUCGGAAUUACUGGGCGUAAAGCGCACGCAGGCGGUUUGUUAAGUCAGAUGUGAAAUCCCCGGGCUCAACCUGGGAACUGCAUCUGAUACUGGCAAGCUUGAGUCUCGUAGAGGGGGGUAGAAUUCCAGGUGUAGCGGUGAAAUGCGUAGAGAUCUGGAGGAAUACCGGUGGCGAAGGCGGCCCCCUGGACGA